rnacentral:lncRNA from 1 species
AACAUGGAGCUGGGGGGACUUGCCCUCUCCAGUCUUUUAAUUUAAAAGGGGCCCUUGCAAUGGUAUAGGUCCACACAGGCGUAGCGUUUAAUACAUGAAGAAACAAGAAAGCCGUAUUGGUUGAACAAAUACCUAUGAUGUUGGUAAAAUGAAGCUGGUUUCAUUAUUUUCCGACGUAUAUGCAUGUAGGCAACCUCGUACCCAGGCUCUUUCCACUACGCUGUAGUGGAAAGUGUCUGGCUACGAGGUUGGCAUGUAGGACCGAGGCAACUGAUUUGUGAGCACAUAUAUGCUUAGUGCUGGAAUCAAACCCCAGUCUGAGAAGUAAUAUGUGCAAUCAACCACUAUAUUGCCGGUAAUCUUACCUUAUUUGCUCAUGAUCAUCCUAAUGUGUACAUUUUUGUUUUAGUUGAUAACUCUUUCAUUGUAUUUCUAUUUUGUUACUUACAUCCGGUGAAUUGAAGACUUUAAAGUUCUGUGACUCGGACUUUUCUUUCAGUAGUAAAAACUAUAGACUAGUACUAGUAACAAAUAGCUGUUAUCGAAUUCGAUGUUAAUGUAAUGGAGUUACGAAUAAAUAUUUUUGUUCUCGG